GGGGAUUUAGCUCAGUGGUAGAGCGCUUGCCUAGCAAGCAUAAGGCCCUGGGUUCAGUCCCCAGCUCCG
rfam:Rattus norvegicus chromosome 8, whole genome shotgun sequence.